UUGCCUUAGUAACGGCGAGUGAAGCGGCAACAGCUCAAAUUUGAAAGCUGGCCCUUUUAGGGUCCGCAUUGUAAUUUGUAGAGGAUGAUUCGGCGAGGGCUCCUGCCUAAGUCCCCUGGAACGGGGCGUCAUAGAGGGUGAGAAUCCCGUAUGCGGUAGGUUGCCUUAGCCAUGUGAAUCUCCUUCGACGAGUCGAGUUGUUUGGGAAUGCAGCUCUAAAUGGGAGGUAAAUUUCUUCUAAAGCUAAAUACCGGCCAGAGACCGAUAGCGCACAAGUAGAGUGAUCGAAAGAUGAAAAGCACUUUGGAAAGAGAGUUAAAAAGUACGUGAAAUUGUUGAAAGGGAAGCGCUUGCAACCAGACUUGUCCGCAGUUGCUCAGCCGGUCUCCUGACCGGCGUACUCUUCUGCGGCCAGGCCAGCAUCAGUUCGGGCGGUCGGAUAAAGGCCUCGGGAAUGUAGCUCCUCUCGGGGAGUGUUAUAGCCCGGGGUGGAAUGCGGCCAGCCUGGACUGAGGAACUCGCUUCGGCAAGGAUGCUGGCGUAAUGGUUGUAAGCGGCCCGUCUUGAAAAACGGACCAAGGAGUCUAACAUCUAUGCGAGUGUUUCGGGUGUCAAACCCGUACGCGUAAUGAAAGUGAAACGGAGGUGGGAAACC
rnacentral:rRNA from 1 species